AUUGAACGCUGGCGGCAUGCCUUACACAUGCAAGUCGAACGGUAACGGGCCUUCGGGUGCCGACGAGUGGCGAACGGGUGAGUAAUACAUCGGAACGUGCCCGAUCGUGGGGGAUAACGAGGCGAAAGCUUUGCUAAUACCGCAUACGAUCUACGGAUGAAAGCAGGGGACCGCAAGGCCUUGCGCGGGCGGAGCGGCCGAUGGCAGAUUAGGUAGUUGGUGGGAUAAAAGCUUACCAAGCCGACGAUCUGUAGCUGGUCUGAGAGGAUGAUCAGCCACACUGGGACUGAGACACGGCCCAGACUCCUACGGGAGGCAGCAGUGGGGAAUUUUGGACAAUGGGCGCAAGCCUGAUCCAGCCAUGCCGCGUGCAGGAUGAAGGCCUUCGGGUUGUAAACUGCUUUUGUACGGAACGAAAAGCCUUCUUUUAAUACAGGAGGGUCAUGACGGUACCGGAAGAAUAAGCACCGGCUAACUACGUG
rnacentral:rRNA from 1 species